CCUACGGGGGGCAGCAGUGAGGAAUAUUGGUCAAUGGCCGGAAGGCUGAACCAGCCAUGCCGCGUGAAGGUCAGUGCCCUAUGGGCGUUAAACUUCUUUUGUGCGGGAGCAAUAAUCGUCACGUGUGGCCAGACGAGAGUACCGUACGAAUAAGCAUCGGCUAACUCCGUGCCAGCAGCCGCGGUAAUACGGGUGAUGCAAGCGUUAGUCGGAUUUAUUGGGUUUAAAGGGUGCGUAGGCUGUGAGGUAAGUCAGCGGGGAAAUGCCCGCGCUCCACGGGGUGAAGUGCCAUUGAUACUGCCUGGCUGGAAUGCGGAUGCCGUAGGAGGAAUGUGUGGUGUAGCGGUGAAAUGCAUAGAUAUCACACAGAACACCGAUUGCGAAGGCAUCUCACGAAUCCGCGAUUGACGCUGAUGCACGAAAGCGUGGGUAUCAAACAGGAUUAGAUACCCUUGUAGUC
rnacentral:rRNA from 1 species